GGAUGUGAGGGUGAUCUGGCUGUGACACCUGUCACCCCAUUGAUCGCCAGGGUUGAUUCGGCUGAUCUGGCUGGCUAGGCGGGUGUCCCCUUCCUCCCUCACUGCUCCAUGUGCGUCCCUCCUGAAGCUGCGCAGUCGGUUGAAGAGGACGAGCAUCCCUGAUAGAGGAGGACCAUUCUUAGGUCACGGGUAUACGAGUAGCUGCGCUCCCCUGCUAGAACCUCCAAACAAGCUCCCAAUUACUGAACCCCCUCUAAGCCUGAUGAAAUGAUACAUGAUCACAUCUCAAAGCGCUUGGCGCAUGGCAUGUGCUGAAACAUAUCAGCAAAAUAU
rnacentral:snRNA from 1 species